rnacentral:lncRNA from 1 species
AAAAGAAAAAAAAUUGUGAUUUAGAUCAAAUAAGUUGAUUUUAUUUUAAUUAAACGAUAAAAAAAUUAAUAAUAACAAAAAAUUAAUAAUUUUAAAAAAAAAUGAUCGUGGUAACCUAGGAAAAAAUAUUUUUUUAAAAAAAUGAUAAAUAAUAGAAUUUAAUUUUCAGCCCAUUAAAUAUGGAAUGUACCAAAUUGUAUUUUAUCUGACUUGAUAAUUGUGAAAAUACUUAAAAACUCGUUGAGGCCAGUUUAAUUUUUUUUGCUUCCAAAAGUAUUUUUGUUGUUUCUUUGUGUUUUUGAAGUGCAAAAAAAUUUAUUUAUCCCAAUCAAUUUGAUAAUGAUUAAUGAAUCAUAUAAGAAGAUCUAAAUGUUUCCAAUAGCCAGUUUUAAGAAAAACGUGAAAAUAUUGUUCUAGUAAACAAUAUUUUACUUGAUUUUAGUUUUUGUUAAUGAUAUUUUUUAAUUAAUUUAUAUGCAUCAAUAAAAAUUAUUUUUUUUUCUAAGUGAUAUUUAGUAGGCACUUUAGCAUGUUGAUGUAUUGUAUUAAAAAAACAAAAAAAAAAACUCUCUUAAAUUCUAACAUUAAAACUCAAAACUAAGAUUUUUAAAAAGUAAACAAAUUUAAUCAAAUCAAUCUUUCCGAGUUUGCCUAGUUUAUAGAGUGACUACUAUCUUAUUGAGACCUCACAUGCUCGCCCCGAUGGAUUAGGUUGACUAGUACGUGGAUGAAGCAAAUCACUGUUGUCCCAUCAUUUUCAACACGUUAAUAAUUCAUCUACCUGCUCUGAAAGUAAAGCAAAAAACCUAAAAAAAACUAAAAGUCUUUGAGUGUACUUUUCUUUUCAGACAAGAAGUUGUGACAAGCCCUUCUUCUUACGGAAAAUUACGAAAUCCCCCCCUGGAAAAGGACAUAAUUUAUUGUGAGUGAAGUGUUUUUGGUAAGAAUUCUGCAACCCAGCACAUGGAUUCUACACCACUGUCUGCGCGGCGGUGACUUGGUCAAGUCGCCGAAUGCAAGGUAUUUUUGUGCCAAAAAGUCCACUGCGAUCUUUCUGCAAAAGCAUCCUAGAACCCACCUUGUUCGUCUUUACCGAUCGACGAACAUGGAUAACUUUGAGAGAUGAUGUGCCUUUUGUACAGCUAAAUUAAUGAAGAUCUAGACUUGGUGGAUAGUGAACCUACAAAACAAUGUGGGAGACCUUUCAAUGGUUUAUAUAUAUAUAUAUAUGAGCAAGGAAGGCAGUGAAGAAGAUUGGAAAUGUAUAAAGAAGGUGAAGAUGCAUAAAAAUCCCCUAACCCUAGAUCUUUUUAUUCCUUGCAUGGGCAGAGGACUUUGCACGGGGAGAAGGGAAAUUUGUUUAAAAACAUGGUUUUGAAUCCAAUUUAUAAAUGUAUUUCCUCAUUUUUAGGGUUAAAAUUUUGUUAGAAUUUAAUCCUUAUUAUAAAACAUUAAUAUGGUUUAAAUAAAUUAUAAGUAAAUAAAAAACUAAUCUUAAAAAACCUUUAGCUGACAUGUUAUGGUAAAAUCUUAAAACCUUUUAUAAGAGCACUCAAGUUUUUAGAGGGAAAAUAUCCUAAAUAAAAUGGAUUUUGAGCUUAAACUAGCACAUGACUUGGUUUCUGUUCGGAUCAUCCCUGAAUUUGAGUUUAUUGUAAAAUAAAUUUUUAGAUUAUAAAAUAUUUUUUAUUUUGCCAACUAAAAUUUAAAUUUAGGUGUGGUCUAAAAGAAUUAUUUAUUCCAUGCCAAUGUUUUGUCCAGUCUACCCCAUGUUUUUGUCCAUCCAAACUCAUGAAUAAAGAAUUUGAUCUUAUUCCAUAAGCAUUUUGCAAACUCGAAAAGUUUUUUUUAGCUCAAAAACUUAAGAUUUAUGCCCAAAAUAUUCAGGUUUAAUUUUGGUUUUUUGAUAAAUAAUUAAAUUUGAUAAUGAUGAGGAUUAAUUCUAGUCAUUACCAUAAAUAAUUCUGGUUUUAUGGAGGAUUAUUAAAGUUGAUAAUGACAAUGAUUAAUUCUAGUUAUUAUCAUAAUUAAUUGCCAAUCUUUUUAACUUCUAAAAUUCACUAUAUAAAGGGGUAAAGAAGAGUUUUGAUGCAUAAGAUUUUUUUUCUAAUACAUAGUUUUAUGUUAUUGUAUAACUUUUAAAUUGAUAAUUGAAUUAGGUUGGAAAUCUUCUAAAAGAUUUUAAAGAUCAUAUUUUCUAUAGGGUUAAAACUUCAAAGAAAACAAACAUUAGAAAUGCCUUCAAAUAAGUCUCAUAAGUUACUACUUGAGAUUUGAUAUAUUUUCCUAGUUGAUCUAAAUUUUUUAUUAUUAUUUAGAUUAGAACGCUUGGCUUUAUUUAAUACAUGUUUUCUAGUUUGACAAAGAUUUUUAUUAUUUUUUCAUUAUUUUUGUGUUUUCUUGUUGGUUUAGGUAAGUUUUUAGGUUUGUUUAAGGAUUAUGAAUCUCCUAGAGAAUAGACUACAUCAAUAGAAAAUAUUCAACAAUAAAAUUCUGAAAUAAGAUUUUUGUGUGAUCCCUUUUUUUUUUAGCAUAAUGAUGUGUUCUUGUGCUUGUUGUUUUUCUUAUAUUGCUUUCAUUUAUGUAUCAGAGCCUAACUAUCCCAAAUUAUUAUUUGUUGAGUUGUGCAUUUUUGGGUGUUAGUAAAUAACUAUAGCUAACAGAGGUCACUAAGUAGAACAUGUUUAGGUAAGAGGGGAUGUAGAGGUCUCCUAUCUAGAGAGAAAUGUUUAAGAGUUGGUGAUAAAAAAACAUACAAAAAUAGAUUGCAAAAUUGAAAAGAGAUGGUCAAGAACUAGUAUUCAAGAAUUGAUGAUAGAUGACAUGCAAAAAUAAAUUGAAAAAUUAAACUGUUAGUUGGUAGGGGUGACGAGCACUAGGGAUUGUGAUCAUAGAUCCAUGACUAGUUUUGAAAAUCAUUUCAGAAACAUAAGCAUGUGAGACAAGUUCUUGAUCAAGAUGACUAGAUUUUACCAUGAGUUAGGCCAGUUUAUUUGUGUUGACUCAAGCCAUUAUUCUUUUUGUUUUUGUUUUUUUUUUAAAGCAAAAUUUCCUUAACUUUAGCCUCCAACAUUGAUUAUUUAGGAAUUGAAUUUAUCAAUUUUUUUAAUUUAUUUUUUAUAGGUCAUGAUGACCCGAAUCGUGAAUUUCACAGCUUAAUUAGAGUUAGUCUAAUUUAAUUUAAUAUAUCAUCAUUACAAUAUUAUUUUUAAAAAAUAUUAUUUAAUAUAUCACUUUUUUAGUAUUUAAAAAAGAUUUUGUUUGAUAUGGAUUAGAUUUUUAUUUCAUGACUAAAUUAUUUUUCUGCAAAAAAAUAUUAACAACGCAUUUAAUUUUUCUUCUUACAUUUAAAAAAUUAAUCCAACCCAUACGCUAUACAAGAUAGAAAUAUAUUUAUGUUUUAACUGCUUCCGUUGACUUUAGAGUCCAAAACCUAUUCACUCGAAUUUUCAUGUAAAGGUAAAAAGAGUCUAAUCAAACAAACGAUCUAAACCCAGCCAAUCCUGUUUCCAUUCAAGGGGAGGUCCAAACUCCAACAUCCACGUGGAACCACCCAAUUGGUUCAAACACCUCGUUCAUUGAACCAGUGUUACUUUGCAGACGAAGUUUGUGGUGGGUAAGAGAUAAUGCUAGCUGUUAUAGUUUAAAAUAUUUUUUAUUUAAAAAUAUAUUAAAAUAAUAUAUUUUUAUUUUUUUAAAAUUAUUUUGAUAUUUAAAAAUAUAAAAAAAUUAAUUUAAUAUAAAAUAAUUUUCAAAUUUUUGCCUUGCUAAGCACACCGUUAAUAAUUUUAUUAGCAGUAGGAAAAGAAAAUAAAGAGAGAGGCAACAGUCAAGUGGCGCGAAGACCACGUCACAAGUAAAUGCAAGAAACGCGGACAAUAAAAACUGGGAAGUGAAAGUACCGUCGUCAACAGUCGCUGGAUCCUCAUCAACACUCGCCUUAAUCUCUCCUUUUUUUCUCUUCACUUUCUUGAUUUUCUAGAUCACAAUUAUCUUCCCUUCCUAUUUAUUAUCUCCACCUGCUUAUUACACUAGCAGCAGCCAUGAUUGGCAAAGAAAUCCUACACAAGAUGAAGGUAUGAAUGGAUGUAUAUCCUUUGUAGUGAACAAGUUAUUGAUUUGAGAUCUUCAAUAUUUCAACCAUUAUAUAUGUGUUUACUGCUUUCCCUGUUUUUUCUUCUUUUUAUGGCCUUGAAUUCGUGAGUUUUUUCUUGCUUGGUCUACGUGUGUUUGGAGACUUCAUAAAUGUGCUUUUUUGAUUUAUAAUUAAAGACAUGAUUUUUUGAUUUAUUUGUUUGGAGUGAUAUGGAUCAGAUGGGGUUAGAGAUAAUGCUUAUUCUGUGUUCAUAGUAAGUCUUAACAUCAUUCCAGUUCUGGAUUUUAUGGGGGGUACUCUCAACAUCAUUAAAGCCAGUUGCUAAUUAUUUGUUACAGUAGCUAAUUUAUUGAGAAUUGGGAACUUUCAUGAUCAUACGAAAUUAAAGUAUUUUGACAUUAACAAUCACAAUUUGCAUUCAGAGAUAAGGAAUUGUUGAACAAAUUAUGUUAAUAUCAAUGUGUAGUGCAUGCUGAGAUAUAAUGUCAAUGAGAUGGGAUCUUACAAUGUGUUUUAUUCGGAAGGAACCUAGAACAUGGCAGUUAUUAUUUUACUUUGCAAUUGCUAUCUUUAACCAAGUUGCUAUAAUUUCUGUUUGGGAGGAAGACAUCACGUUCGAAGAAGAAUUGUAAGACUCUUUUGUUCCAAACAAUUAUAAUUAUACAACUAUGGAAGUAUUUUUAAUUAAUAUGUUUUUGUGGUUUGUUCAGCUCUUUGACAUUGAUUACACAUGCAUUUUUCAUUGGAUUACUAGCCGUGUGAGUUACCUACAAGUUUGAAUGCACAUAUUGCAGGAAAAGGUUGGAUUAGGUUCUUCUCCAGAUUGUGGAAAGGGCAAGAGUAAGAUUUCGAAGCACAUAACACAUGGCUUUCACUUAGUAAAGGGGAAAUCACAUCAUGACAUGGAAGAUUAUGUUGUUGCUCAAUUUAAGGAAGUCGAUGACAAUGAACUUGGUUUGUUUGCAAUAUUUGAUGGUCAUCUCAGCCAUGUUAUUCCUGAUUAUUUGCGGUCUCAUUUGUUUGACAAUAUCUUGAAGGAGGUAAGGCAUUCUAUCUGUGUAUUGUAAGUCAUUAUUGAAGCAUCAUUUUGUGAGCUACUUUGUAGGCCUAAAUUUUUUACUAUGGUUAUGGGAUAGGAUUCUGGGGUUGGUUGCUUAAUGGCUUCUCAUUUUUAAGUGGAGCUGAGAAUUGAUAUUUCAACUUUUAUGAUGGGCUAAAUAUGCUUGCUAUUUCCCCUUCUUAGAUUGUCCAUUCUGCUUGUAGUUUUCUGUACUGGGUGGAUUUGAUGAAAAUGAAUGUCUAUUUCUUGUUUGAAUAUUUCCUUCAUGCAGCCAGACUUUUGGACACAGCCAAAAAAUGCUAUGAGGAGAGCAUAUUGUAUUACUGAUACUACAAUUUUGGAGAAAGCCGGUGAUUUGGGUAAAGGAGGUUCAACGGCUGUCACUGCUAUACUAAUUAACUGUCAGAAGCUGGUAGUAGCAAAUGUAGGUGACUCACGAGCUGUUAUCUGCAAGAAUGGUGUUGCCAAACAACUCUCAGUUGAUCAUGAGCCAAGCAUGGAAAGGGAGGAAAUCGAGAACAGAGGUGGCUUUGUGUCAAACUUUCCAGGUAAGAGAUUUGCUGAGUUUCAAGAACUAUGUUGUUCUACAAUGUUUGGACUCUACAUAAAUAUGAUUAUGAUUGUGUUGUGAGAAAUGGAGCAUUGGAAAUUAGACUGUUAGGACAUUACUGCUUUUAAUGCCUUUAGGUUUUGAGGCUUGCAAGUGCAUGCUGGAAUUUUGAAAAUGGAUUGCAUACUGUGCACUCUUUCACAGGGAAAAUGGAUGCUUUAAAUGAUAGAAUUUGCACCAAGUUAUUGCACUGAUUGGUGUCCUGUGACCUGUUGAUGAAUAGACAUGGGUUAUCUUUUUAAACUGAUGGAACUGCACUUUUCUAUUAUCUGGUUUCAGACAGCCAUUGUGAGCAUGCAAUCUGUUGCACUAUGAUCAGCCAUGUGAUUCUUCUUUGUUCCAAUAUCAAUACCUUUAGACUAUCUCUCCUCCUUAUAGAGAUGUUUCAAUAGUCUGUCACUAUCAAUAUUAACUUUCCAAGUCACUAUCAAUAUUAACUUUCCAACUUUAUGAAUUCAGGGGAUGUCCCACGUGUUGAUGGACAGUUGGCAGUGGCAAGGGCAUUUGGUGACAAGAGCUUGAAGGAACAUCUGAGUUCAGAACCAGAUGUUGCAAUGGAGAUGAUUGAUGAUGAUACAGAUUGUAUUAUCUUAGCAAGUGACGGGUUGUGGAAGGUUUCUUUUACUUGGAACUUUCUACCUCUAAUCUUUGUUGGGAGGAUAAAUUAUUUGUUUGCCCUUUUUAUGGACUAAAAUCCGUUCCUCAAUAUGAUGCCAGGUGAUGUCCAACCAAGAAGCGGUGGAUGCUGUCAAGAACAUAAAGGAUGCGCUGUCUGCAGCAAAGCGGCUUACUGAAGAAGCACUUAAUAGGAAGAGUUCAGACGACAUUUCCUGUGUGGUUGUGAAAUUUCAGUGACCUCACCCCGGAUUCCUCCUCUUGCUCAUGUUUGAUAAGAAACUCUCAGAGGUGUGUAAUACUGUAAUUAGCCCUGGUACAUUAAUAACUAUCAUGCAUGUUUUCUGCUACAUUAGUAGCUGGUUAUCGUGUUCUGUUGCAAGUAGAAUGAAGUGGACCUGCUUGGUAUCAUUGUGCCUAUAAUAUAGUUCGAGGGAGUAGGGAUGUUUGAAUGGUUUGGCGAACCGUCUCUUUGAUGCCAGCCUUAGCCCUCAAAGGAGGGGUUGCCCCAACUACUGUGUCUAAUGUUACCUUGCUACCAAAUUAUUAUAUUACUAUUUACAAAAGAAGUUAUAAGAGGGUGGUGUUUUACUGUAGAUACAUUGUAGAACAGACUCGUUUGCAUUGUGGAUUCGACAUUAUGUUAUAUUGUUCAUCAGGGCCAAAUGAUAUCGUCAACCAAAUCCUUUCUUGAAUUUGAUUUUUUGAAAACAUAUAUUCUCUUUGGUCCUUAGGUUUCCAAGUUUUUCUUGAAUGGUUCUUGCCCUUCAUUUUUAAUACAUGCCGGUCCCUAGAUGGAGAGAGAGAGAGAGAGAGAGAGAACCGGUGAGGGAGAAGGAAGGAGAGAGAAAACUCUGAUGAGCUCCAUUCAGGCCAUGUAAUUCAAAAAUCUGUGUCCAUGUAUUCUCGGAAAAAAUAUUAGUCUUUUGGGAUUCAUAUGUUUGCGGAAGUAAGUUUCUAGAGACAUGUUUUGAGGUUGUAAAAUGGUUUUUAAAUGGUUAUUUUUUAGAUUGUUCAUGCAACUUAACAAGAAAAUGAUAUAUCAUGAUUUUGACCUUUAUUUAUAUGUAAAAAAUAAUAUCAAAAUUAAUUACUAUUGUAAAAAAUAAUGAUUUUUUUUAUAACCUUGCAAGAAAUAGGGAUUAAUUAUCAAUUUAUUUUAUAAUAAUAGAGGUUUGAUAAUUAAUAACUAAUUAAUCUAGGGCUUAUAGUCUUAAGAACUUUUACAAGGAUAACAAAAUUGAUAUAACAUUGAUGUGCUUACAAUAACGAAAAUAUUGCCACUACUAGUACCAGUAGAUGUUAUGUUGAUAAUUUAUUGUUUUUUAAGUUUAUAUUAGUUUUUGGUUAAUAAUAUCUAGCUUCUGAUAAUAAUCAUUGAUGUUAUGACCUAAAUUUCAAAUUUAUGAUUAGUAACACAGGUGCGAUGUCAUAAGGACAUCACACCCACACUAAAUCUUAGAAUGUAUAUAUCAUAAAACAAAUUAUAUAAAGAUUUUAUAGCAUUUUAAUAUCCUUCAAAAUAUUAUAUUCUUCAAAACUAGUAAAAAUAAAUAACUCUUAAUUUUUUUUUCAUCGGAUAAAAUAAAACAAAUAAUUUAUAAUACUUAUUACAUUGUUAAAAUCCGAAUUUAAUUAAAAUAGUGUAAUAGUAAAGUGUUUAAGAUACCAGCUAGGUAUACAAAAUAUUAUAUGCACAUAGACGAAUUAUUCUCUGUUAGCAUGAAGUUACUGAUAAGUAUAUCGAAUUUACAUGCUAACAAAAAUUAAAAACUUGAAAUAAUAUUAAAAAAAUAGGGGGAUAAGUUCAACCAAGUCAGUAAGGGAAUAACAUUCAAGAAUAGGUGAGUAUUUAGAAAAUAAAGCAACAUAUAUAAAUAUUCAAGAAAUUAACUACAUGUACUCAUCGUAUAAUCAACAUACAUAUUUAUUUAUAUUACAUGUAUAUUAAAGAUUAUCCCACUCACCCGGAAAACGAAAGAAAAAGACAAACAGAUGCAGAACCGAAGACUACUGAAGAUCGUUAGGAGAAACAUCAACAUAACUUAUAAUGGAUAUGAAAAACACUAAAAAACAACUCGAAGUAAAGUAACAUAAAAGAUUAAAAACUUUAAGCUUAAAGACCAAAACGUAAAUAUAAAGCUAAAUUGAUUCACCCGAUCGAUCCCGAACUUAAUCCAAACUGAUCAAACAUAACAUACCCAAUAAAACUUUAAUGUUGGUCAAUCGGUCGACCAAGAUGACCAACCGGUCGACCACUAUCACAGGCUAACUGGUUUAAACUAAUCGGUCGACAACAUCAAUUAGUCAACCGGUCAGCCAGUUCAACCAAUCGAUCGACUGAUUAAUUAGGGUUUUCAGAAUCUCGAUUUAUCAGUCUUCAAACUUGUAAAUUUCAUAAUAACACAAUCUAUUUUUCAAAAACUCAUAAUUCCAGACAUCAAAUCAAUUUGUUUAAGGCCAACUAACAUCUUAAAAUAUCAAUUCAAUCCUUUAAAUCAUUUUAUCAUCAAAACAAUAUAAAAACCCUAAAUACAUCUUAAAACCUUUCAUAAUCAAUCCUUAAUUGAAAAUAACAAAAGAGGAAAAACCACUUACUUAUUUCUUCAACCUUUCUUAAACUAAAAACUUCAAUUCAAAACUGAAAUCCCUUGUAAACAGGAUUGGAAAGUCGCGAUAGGGAGAGAAAAUAGAGAAAGAGAGAAAACAAUGCUCUUAACAAUUUUUUCUUUAAAUAUCUAGGUUGGUUGGAUUGGGUUUGGGUAGAACCUUGGGCUUAGAUUGUGCUAAGAAUAUGGGUCUUACAAUUGACAUUUUAAAAAAAUGUGAUUUCUUAUUCUUUUGAAUUAACACAAGAAUUUCGUUUGACUGUAUCAUUUUUUUAUAUAUAAAUUUAUAAUUAGGUUUCAAUCUUUGAAAAUUAAUAUUUAAAAUUACAUCAAUACAAAAAGAAAAAAACUAUCAAGUAGAGAUGAUGGGGUUUUUUAUUUAUUUAUAGUUAUGGACUCAUUAAAUGAAAUCAUGCACCAUUUCAAUAUUGAUUGCUUGAUUAUUCUUAUGAACAUUGAUUUUUGUGUUCAUUUAAUUAUUGACUCUUUCAAUUAUAUUUGUAAGUGUUAUUAAUAAUUAAUUGCGUGAUAUCAAAACUAUACAUAUCUAUAAAAUAUAUCUAAGCUCAAAAGUAAAAAUACACAUGAUAUUAAAUACUAUAAAAUGCAUAUUAAAUUAAAAUAUUUUUAAAAUUAAUAUUAAUCAAUUUUGAUUUCACUCGACUACAUUUUUAGAAUUAAUUGAAAUAUUAAAAUAGACUUUAUAAGGUUACCAGUCGAAACUACUAAUUAAGAAAAAACUAAAAGAUCUUGGCAAGAUGUUGUUCAUUCAACUAUACACGAGUGCAUACAUAAUUGCAUUGUGAAUUUACACAAAGUAAUUUUCUUUUUUUAAAUCAUGUAGUUAUUUUCACCUCAAUUCUAUCCUUCCAUGUGGGUUUUAUUUGAGAUUGGUUUUAAUGGUUUGUUUUAAUAAGUUCAAUGUGGGGUUUUCGUUGGAUAAAAAAAGUAUCCUAUCACUGGUCUAGCACUUGAUUCUGUAAAACAAAUAUUCAUAUUUUUUGUUUUUCGAAGGAUUGAAACUAAAGGAAACUACAAUUGAAAAUUGUAAAGAAAAAAAUGGAGCUCUUUUUGGUUUUGAAAGGAAGAAAAGAAGAAAUUAAACAUGAGAACCGAGAAGAGGAGAUAGAAAAAAAAAAGUAAAGAAGAAUGGGUUAACGAAACCACAUUGGAGCUUUAUAGUCACCCCAUACUGUGGUAAAAGGAUGUCCUUGCCAAGACGAUUCUAACAACACCAAGAAAAGUCAUUAUCAAAGCUUGAAGGAAGCCACGCGGGCCUCCCAAAUGCAGUGGCUUUCCUCACACGCUAGUGCAUUAGAAACUCUUUACCAUCUUCAUUCAAUUUAGUCACAGAUUCUCUAAUAAUUCUUCAAUUCAAUCCUGACUUCAUCUUAUCGAGUCGGAUGAAGGCUCAAUCAGGGAGACAAAAACAAAAGGGAAAAGAAAGAGAUGAAAGGUCCAACUGAAUUAGUUCAUUGUGAUCAUGUUCAUUAUCCAAGUCAUGAAUUUUACGAGUUAACCUGAAUUGAUCAGGGUCAAUCCAAUAUGUCUCAAUCUCAAUAUUAAAAAAAAAUGCAAUUUGAUUUUUUUUUUAAGUCAAACUACUUUUUUACCGUUUGUCUAGGUUAAUUUCAAACACAACAAGUUGACUGAGUCACAUUGGUUAAACUCUCACAUAAUUUAUUUAAAGCUUGAUCUAGGCAAGGAGUUAAGUAAAAAAGUUUUAAGGUUGACUUGUUGGAUCAUGUUUAAUGACACUGUCAAAGAGUUUUUCAUGACCUGAACAUUUUUUUUUAUAUUCAUAUAAUGUCCCUACUUAAUUUUUUUUAAAAGCUCGAGUAACAUUGUCUUAAUUUUUUUUUAUCAGAUCAAGUUUUGAUCGGAUCAACUUGAUAUAUUAUGAAUUUAUGCCUAUUUUUUUAAAAAAAAUAUAUGCUCAAAAGAAUUUAUUGACACCUCAAGUUCGUGUCCGUAGUGGAGCUUUGACAGCAAAACUAGUAAAUAUGCUAAAAAAAAUGUAGAUUCACUGUUGCUAAACUAUAGUGAGAUUACUUUUUUUUCCUUAAAAAAAAUUAAGACGUAGCUUCCCAAACAAUAUAAGUUGGUUUUUUUUUAGUUUUUUUUUUAAUUUAAUAAAUGUGAUUUCAUCCCCAUGUCUAAAGUAAUUGGCUUGAAGAAUACAAGUCAAAAUAACAUAGGUUUUUUUCAAAAAAAAUUAAAGUAGCUUAAUCCUUGAAAUUCUAAUCUAUGUGAUUUGGUCUUUUUGUUUACACCUAAAAGUGGGUAUUUUUUUGCAUUUGUUUUUUUAUUAUAAGUCAAAAUUCUUAAAGAUUAAGAAUAUUAUAAUUAUGGAUAUAUGUCAAAAAUAUUACUGCAACUUUUUAUAUAGAAAAAACUAGGAAAUCCUAAUAAUAUUGAAUAGGAAAAUAAAAAAAUUCCUUUUAAUAGAAAAACUAGAAAAGCCUAAUAAUAUUGAAUAAGAAAAAAAUUUAAAACUAAAUAAGAAAUAAAAAAAGCUGAAAAAAAUAAGAAAUAUCUAAAAAGCUCGUGCAUCAAGGAUGUCGCCAGUUGGUUGGUUAAUUUCAACAUUUUAGUUAGCCAAGCAUAGAAAACAAAACAUUAGUAUUUACACUCCUCUUCCUGUAUUUGAUUGUCUUUAGCAAGAUGCAAGUAUGGAUUUUGUCCUAAAGCUUUCAUUUACCUUAAAGAAGCAUGAAUCCAUAAUUUUAAUUGUUGAAUGUUUUUCUAAGAUGACCCACUUCAUUCCUUAUACCAAUGUCAUGGAUGCCUCUUGAGUUACUAAACUCUAUUUUGAUGAGAUCAUGAAGUUAUAUCACCUCUCUAAAGCCAUAGUCUUAGAUAGGGAUGUGCGAUAUAUGAAUUACUUUUGGAAUUACCAAGUUGAAAUUCUCUGGUACCUAUCACCCCAAAACAAAUGGUAAAACUGAUAUGAUCGAUCGAAGCUUAGUUAAUCUCUUAAAUGUCUGAAGAGUAACUAUAAUAGGAAUUGAGAUUUGGAUCUCCCUACGACCUGGUUUUCUUAUAUUAUCUUGGUUAAUAAUUCUAUAGGUAUGAGUCCAUUUAAAGUUGUUCAUGGUAAACUAGAAAUCUUGUAGACCUUCUUUCCAUGUCUUUUUUACACUAAGAAAUCUAAGUUAAUAGAGUCUUUUUUAUAUGAAUUUCAUGGUUUGGAUGUUGAGAUCGCAAAAUAAAUUCAAGCAAGUAAUGUCCAAUACAGACUUCAAGCUUAUUUAUAUAAGCGUCACAAUGCAUUUAAUGUUAGAGAUUAUGUCAUAUCCUUUCAAAACCAAUAAAAAUUGAUGGCAUGUAAAGUUGGACUAUUCAAAGUAUUAUUGAGGUUGGAUCAAAUGCUUAAGUCAUUGACCUAUCCUUAACUUUGGUAUUAACUAUAUUUUUAAUAUAGAGAAUCUUGUUGAAUAAAGAGACAACAACCUAUCUCAUAUGACCCUUGUUACCUUUUUCAUCAGCAUAAAAAGAACAUAUUGAUGCUAUUUGGAUGAACAAGUUGUUUUUAUAAGGGAUAAUGAGGUCUAAUGAUUUCUAUUUUAUUGGGUUAGGUGACCUGAUUUGGAUUGUACUUAGAUCACUAGAUAUACAUUGAAGCGUGUUAAUUCUGAUCUUUGGGAACACUAUCAGAGUUGUCAAAAGCUACACUUGACAGGGUUGAGUUUUUCAACUUCAAAAGAGUUGGUGGGGACGCUAGACCCGUAUUGCAGGUCACACACAUAUGAACAUAAACGAUGGAUGAUAGCUCAACUCAUCACCCUUUUGUUACUGGACUUUAUUUUAUUCUAUUUUGGAUUUCAUUUUAUUUAGCUCAAUUGUUGGUAAUGUUUUUAUUAGGGUUUGGUUUAGACUAUUUAGAUAUAUUUUUCUAUGACAUUAACAGUUUGAUAAUUAAUUAAAAAUAAAUAAACUUUUGUAUGAGACGCUGCUUUUCUUCUCCUCUCUUUAACCGUCUUCUCUUCCCUUAUUCCUUUUAUCCUCUUUAAUUUAUUGUUGAACCGCAUCAACUUGUGGCGAGUUUUUAUUUUCCCUAAAACACAUGUAACAAAUAGAAAAAUAAAAAUAAAACUCUUGAUGCUAUAGAUAUACACACACACUUUGAUGUGUGAUUCAUCCUUUGCAAUUUAUGUGCUUCAUUUGUAUAUAUAUAAAUAUAUUUUGAGCUUAGAUUUUGAUAUAUUUGAACUUUAAUUAAAUUUAAUCUAAGACUAUCUUAACAAUUUAUAAUCAUGCUUUUUGGAUAGGGAAUAGUACGUAGUCUUGAAUCAUAGGAUAAUGGAAGGGUAGAACCAGCUAGAAAUCUAGGUUUACAAGCAUCGUAAGAGUUGGGUUAGACUAAUUUUCAUUGGAUGAGUUUGGUUCAGACGCAGGAAGCAGCUCUUUGGUACAGCUAUCCUCAGCAACGUUGUUUUCUUAGUAAGAUGAACCCAACGAGGUUCUUUUGCAGUUCGGCAAGAACAUAGUCAAUAAUAUUCUUUAUAGGAUAGAUAUUAUUCUUUAUAGGAUAGCAAUAAGAUUCCACCAAGCCAAUGCUGGUAGAACCUUGAACACCAUUUGAGGCCUAAUCCACAUAAUACAGCCUCUGUCAAACAACAUUACAGCAAGUAGAUACUAAAGUACACCAAGGACAUACGAUCCCUUGUAGUGGUCGAUCUUAUACGGUCCCAAACAUGCGUAGAAUUAAGCUGUUACUUGACAGAAGAGAGGGAGCAUGCCGCUGGUUUGGUCUUCAUCUGAUCUGGGAUCGCUUGUAAGAGGAACUUCCUUGGGGUGGGAUGUUUAUCUGAAAUCUUCCUCUUUCAUCAGCUUGCCUGCACGGGUUCUCUUUCAAUGGAGUAUUGACGCCUUUGCGGUUUGAACCCUCUCCAUAAGACUCAGCUGUGCUCUUCCGGCGCCUCUCAUUGUGCCCUGCCAAACGCCUACGGCAGCUCCUCUUAGUUUCAUCAAACUCCACUAGCUCGUGGAACCUGCAAAGGCUCGUAAUUAUAGAAUGGUGAAAGCAACUUAAACAGAACCAUAUACAUAGCAAGUCACUGGAAGAUGAGCAGAGAGAAGCCACAAUGAGCUGAAAUUGACUUCCAAGUAAAUUUUGGUAAAAACACCUCUUGUCGAAAGUAUCAUUACGUGGAAAAAUGCAUGGAAAGGGAAAACACAUAUUACUUGGCAAAAGCUCAUAUAUCUAACAAAAUCUCUUAAGCGGAAACAGCCUCUCCAUUAAUUUUCUGACAUUCCAUGAUGUUAGGAACAUCAAUUUUGAUCAUAUUAACCAGUCAGCUGAUUUUGUGUUCGUGACCAGCAGAAACUUGUCUCGAGUUAGAAACUUUCAAGCCUAAUUAGCACCAUUUCUUUUCAUACUGUUGAAGUAAAUUGUAUCAUUAACACUUGGACCAUUAUAUUCACAACCUACAUUUAUGUACCCUAACUCUGUCAAACCUUCUUUUGGGGAAUCCUGAUGAAAAUCCAAUAUUUGUCAUCCAACCAAAGAAGGUUGCAGAAAUUUUACCGUUCAAACGAUACUAAAUAAAUCCCACUCUUCCUUCUGUUUUUGAGCUCUACUAGCAAGUGAAAAAGGUUGAGAUUGUAUAUGGAUGAGUCUCCAGAGUAUUUGGAACUUGUAAAUCUAACACUUUACUGAGUUUUAGCUUCAGUCAAUUGCAUAUUUGCAUGGGUUAGGCAAUCUUCUUCACGCUGAGCUUACAUUGGCUAAUUCAGAUAACUACGCCCGACUUCAAAACUCAAACAAGUUUCUUUCAGGCCAGUAAUGUUACAAAUGCAAAAAACUUGCCACUAUUUUCUUAUGAAGAAGCUGCACAAGGGAAAAGAAAUUUUGUGUGUGAACAUAGCAUAUUUCUCCUCAAACCCCUUUAAUUGUCAAGUCGCAUGCUAUGUAUCCAUACUAGUAAAAGAAAAUACGUCCUACUGAAAGAAAGAUAGCUGAACAAAAACGCAUGAAACAGAAAUACCUGCUGCAUUGUUGACAAAACCUCUGCCUGAGGCCAGCAACAACCACAGCUGGUGACUUUGCAUGAACCUCGCAAACUUUGUGUCUCCUGUGGUACCUCUUAGCAUCAGUUAAAUUAGCUCCACACUUCUCCACUUGGCAGGAUGGUGGAGACGCUCCGCCACUACCAGUCCCUCUCUUCCCAUGCAUAACACCGGCUCCUUUCUUCUUUUCAUCAUCGGCUAAGCCAACACCGCCGCCACUCUCAUAUUCUUCCAUGUCAUCCUCCAACUCAUCCUCAAUCAGGAAAUCAUCUUUGUUGAUCAUUUUUUCUUUCAAACUGCUAUGCUUCCCUUCAAGAGUCCUAGCGUCCAUUAUUUUAGGGAGGAUAUCACACAAUUGAGGUAUUGUGUGGUAGCUAGCAAGGUGAGGAGUGGCUUUUGAAGUACUAAAAUGAAGGUCUGUAGGAGAGAGUGUAAAGUAAAAGGUGAAAAAAGUAGGGAGGACCACAAGCAACAUAUUCUUGUGUUUUUUUUUAUGUAUGGUGUCAGUUGACAAUGAAUGAAUGAUUAGAGUGUGGAAUUUGUUUGUUGUGAUUUGUUAUGACAGAUAAAUUUUCAGCUUAAUUGCUGUUAUUGGUGCUUGUAGUGAUAUUUUCAUUUGACACUACAUGUGUGUGGUUGACGCUCGAUUAUUAUCGCUUCCCUAGAUGUGAAAACGAAAUUAAAUGAUAUUAGCACACCUAUGCAAUCAUUGUUUAUUUAGAAAGGGCAUUCGCAGAGUAAGUCUGUGAGUUAGUAAACAAUUUGGUUUAAGCAUGAAGUUUUUGGUAAUAUAGCAGGUGUAUUUUAUGUCAAAUGAAUCACUUGACGUGUACAGGUUAAUCUUCUAGCUUUUUUUUCUAGACAUGAAAGAGUUAGGUAGGAAUCAGGAUUGAUGGUUUUGUCAAUGAAGAAGGAAGAAAAAAAGUUGGGUGAUUUCGAGUCAAAUCGACUGUUAUCAAAUUUAGAACAUGGGACGGCGGGAAGGAUAUAGUUUUCGAACAUAAUGCUAGCCUACAGCACAGAUUUGAUCACUUGAUUUCCCUGCUGAAGAAAUCAAAACACAGACGGACUGAAUUAUCCUCAACAAAGGGCCCCUUAAACCAUUACUUUCUGUUUUUUAUCACCAUUUUUCCGGAAUGCUUUCUUUACGCUUUAUCUUGACAUUAAUGGUAUGCUACAAAGCAAAUUUUCUGGUACUUAAAUGAGCAAGAGAGGCACUGGAUUGCACUCAAGUAAGCGAUGUUAGUGAAAAGAUUACAUCUAUGGCAGAGGCAUGAGAAGGACAUGUCAAAUUUUAGUGCACCCUUUAAUGUAAUGGUACAGAAUCAAUGCUCACACAAUAUUCUGCUCCUCUUGGUUGGACAAGCAGUGUACUGUAGCAGAGUACCCUAUGCUUCUUUUUUGUUGAAAUGGACUAAUAGAUUUACAGUCUUUUGUUCAUGCAAAGCUUUAUUCCUCUUAUCUUUUCUCCUCGUGUCUUUUUUACCUGAUGCAAGACUUACAGGUCCAUGUGCAGAUUGAUUAAUUCAAUAUUUAAGAUGAUUGUUGCAACUGAAUGCUGGCUUUCUAUCAAUAUGUUUUUUGCUGGGGUUGGCUUACGGUACAAGUCUAUGGGUCUUUUGUGUUAUAAAGUUCGGGACAUGGCUCAGUACACAAUGUACAUGCCAUGAUAGCUGGGAAGGCAAAACCUCAGUGGUGACAUGACCCAACACAAGUUUUCACGUGGCUCUUGUACCAAGCACAAAUGGAAUACUUUAGCAAAUGUCUAUGAAAAACAGAUAGACAGCUGAAAUCAUACAAGGCGUUAUAGCUCAUUAGUAAAGCUCAUGUUUGUACAUCUAAUAGUACAAGGUUAAGGGCUGGACUAAUUUUGUAGCAGUGAGAAGGGACCUUCGCUUAUAAGCAUCCUUCCUAUUCCUGCACUUAUCUUAUACGUGAUUGGCUGUUACCUAUCACAGAGGAACUCCAAGUUGAGUUCAGUAUUAAAGGCUCAUAGCACAAUCAUAAAGAAUAUAUGUGAAAGGCAAGAGUAUGGUGGUCAAAUCAUAAAGAAUUAAGCAUCCCUACAACCAAUCUUCUUGAACAUCUUGAUUUUCUGUAAUCUGCAAGGAAAAUGGCGGAUGGUAUCACAGAUAUUAACAUUUAGCAUGGGUGAGUAGCAUAGUAGUGUUCUUGCAGGUGGUGAAAGGAUAGGCCUCGAGUUCAAUUCACAUGAACGAAAAGGUCGUACUCCACUGCCAAUUACUUGCAGAGGAGUACGACCUUUAAUGAAAUUUAUGCUUAGGAUAGAUGACCAUCUUCAUAUGAUUAUUAUGUGAAAUAGAAGAAAAAAUUCUAGUCAUUGGAAUUCUAGAUAUUUAAAUAAAAAGUCUAUAGCUCAAAAUCCCAAUCAGCAAAACGCUGAAAAUCGACACAACGUUAACAGGCACAAAGGAACCUACUAGUUUAAGCAAAUUCACGGUAUGGCAAAAAUGAACUCUCAAAUAUCUCAAUCCAUUUCCACCCACAAGUGUGAUUCCAUGUUCUUAUGUCUACCUACCUUUCACCCCUCCACUCUUCCGCGUCUCUCUUUUCUUUUCUUUUCUUUACCUUUUAUGAUAACACAUUAAAGGAAAUGGCCUUUGCAUAUGAUUUUGACUUCCAUAAAGUGCCCGUUACUCUCAAUAUCGGAGUUGGAUAUUGGUCCUAUAUUCCUUCCAGAUUCUCUAAUUUGUUUGAGCUGGGAAUCACGAAGAUUAGAUCGUUGAUGAAGUAACAAAAAACAGAAUACAAAUGAAUGGAUCAUGACUUUGCUUUGGAAAAGAACAAUUCUUGUCUAUAAAGAGAACCAAACAGCUGUUUGAUAAGAUGUAGAUCUUUCGAGUAUGAGGUAGUGUUUGAUGUUGUGAUAACGAUUAUUUUUUAAAAUAAUUUUUGUUUAGAAUCAUUUUAAAAUAAUAUUUUUUAUUUUUAAAAUUUUAUUUUUAACAUUAAUACAUCAAAACAAUCUAAAUAUAUAUAAAAAAAUUUGAAACAAAUAUUUUUUUUUUUAAAUAGCACGGCCAAUUAUCAACUAGUUCUAAAAUACAAAAAUCUUGUAUGAUGUUGUUUUAAAAAAUUAUUUGGCGUAUCUAAAUUGUGCUAUAAUAUUGGUGAUGAUAAGUGAUCUAUAUUCCCUAUCUACAUUACCUAUCAUCUUCUUUGAUUCUUUAUUACCCUUCAAAAUGGAUUUAUAGGAAAUGAUGAGUGAAGUGCUGGAUUAUAUGGAUUGCCUAUCAUCUUUUCCAGGUCCUUUUUGCUUGCCCUGGAAAAUGCUUUCAAUGGCUUUGUUCCUGGAGUUGCUGUGUGUCACAUUUUACCAAUCCUUUUCACUUUGGAAUUUGUUUUGGCAAUUUAAUGGCCAAAGCAAGAGCGUAUCAGAUUCCAAGUCGGAUGUUUUUUUGUUCAACAAUGCAACUCGACAAAAUUUGGGCACUUUCUGUCGUGAAGAUAGAAUUCUAGUCUGAAAAUGUCCUGUAGUGUAGAGAGUGCGUGAGUUCACGGUUCGAAACUAUUUCAGCUUCAAGUUUUAGAAUCCUUUGUGGUUGUAUGAAGGAAAUGGACAAAGCUCCUUUGAAUACACAAAGGCUAAAAGUCUCAUUCUCCACAGAAUCACUGACAAGGCGUCAUGAUCAUUUGGGAACUGAUUAGCUGUGCACCAGCCUUCCCUGAUCAGCCUUUGCCUAGACCAUUUUAAGGUUCUCAUAUGUGAUAUGUUGCUGGUAUUUGUUUUGGUGAACCAAAGCUCAGCACACUACUUUUCAAGAUUGAGGGCUAAAACAAAAUUAUUGAAGCUCAUUUUAUCUCAAUUCAGAAACCCUACUGAAAAUAAAGAUAAACAUAAAAGACCCAGUACAGGUCUUAUCACAAAUCCAUUGUUUUCUAAUUAAGCCAGCGUGAUACAAACAUUGUAACAGACCAUAGUUAUUGCUACCAAAUGCAAGCAAACUUAAGAACCAAGUGCUUUCUCAAUCUGCUGUCACCUAUUCUUCUCAAAUCAUCAAUAUUUUUGUACUCUACUGUAUCAACAGCUGGUCCAUCAACUUAUGGACCUCAACAAACACUGGAUCUUCCACGUUAUUAUUGUUCUUGUCGUGGCUGUUAUGAUCAUGACUGUUACUAUCAUCAUUUCCACCACCUACUGUCUCUCUAACCUUUUGGUUAGCCUCUUUGGCUGCUUCCCGUGCACCAUCUAUUGUUUCCUUAGCCCCGUCCCCAAUCGUGUCUGCUACUUGUGUUGCUUUUCUAACCCCUUCUUUGGCAGUGUCAGCCACAAACUGUUUUGCUCCUACUCUUGCAUAUUCAUCAGGGUCUAGGCCUUGCCUAGUUCGAUAAUUUGUUGCACUAUAAGAUUUUCGUGGUGUCCUAUCUGGGCUAUUUGUUUCUCUUCUUGUCUCUGCUGCUACACUGGUACCCUGAAAAUUUAGCACAUAAUGGAAGGAAAAUAAAAGCGUUAUUAAUGGUCUAGCUUAGGAACCGACAAAUAGUCCCCAUCGUGGAAAUACAUGUAAUUCAAUGCUAGACAAGGUAGCCAUGCUUUUCAGUCUGAAGACAAACUAUAUGCUUUGUCUAAAUAUUUUAGGAAACAGAGAGAGAUCAAUGUAUAAAAAAGAGGAAUUAUAGCAUAGAGAUACUUGAGCUCGUUGAAAAGCAGUGGAGAAGUAAGCCCUGUUGGCAGACACAACACAACGAGGGUGAUCCUUGGAUGAAGCUCUAGAGAUGUUAAUGACGGCUCUUUUUGCCAAAAAUAGUGCUGCCAUAGUUCCCUUCUAGCUAGAUGUUUUGCUGCAGAAUGUUGAUUUCUUCGUACAUAAACAUAGCCUAAUAGUUAAAAGUAAAAUAAAGAACAAGUCGGUGUGGUGCGGCACAUGUAAAACUGAACACGUUUUGAGAGAAUUUGACAUGUUCCUUUGGGCAAAAGGAGGAUGAUCCAUGUUGAUGUGUCUUCUUUCUGAACCAUGAAUUCUGAAACUACCGAUGUGUAAAUUGUGUGUGCUAGCUAGCCAGUAUCAAAUCUUGGGAAACCGGAAUGAAUCUUAAUCUGUUCAUAAUACUCUCCCAUUUGUUCAAAACAAGUAUUCUUGAAAAUGAAAUAAUAGUGCUUCUCAAAAUAUACAUGGUUGAGCUUCACAAAGCUGGAAGAGAAGCAACAAGCAGAUCCAUUAUGAGAUGCAGUUGGAGUGGAAAGCUGCAAAGACCCCAUAUUCAAAUCUCAAGUUCUUACUUGACAAUCAUCUGGCUUUCUAGCAACUGUUAUGGAGACUCUGAAUCAAACAUGAAACCAUCUAGACAAACAGACAAAGCUGGAAGAGAAGCAACAAGCAGAUCCAUUAUGAGAUGCAGUUGGAGUGGAAAGCUGCAAAGACCCCAUAUCAUCUGGCUUUCUAGCAACUGUUAUGGAGACUCUGAAUCAAACAUGAAACCAUCUAGACAAACAGUGAAUGUGACUUGAGAACCAGAGAUGAAUACCCAAUAAGCACACCUUACUAAGUGUGCUAUCCAAAACAGCUGAUGCAUCUGAUCUGCAUUUACAAAGUUCAUCAAAUUCAUUGACGAAGCAGUGAAUGUCAUUUCAACACAAAUGUAAUACAAUUUUAUGUAUCUUGCAAAUGGCACCCAUCCCCACCAUGAAGGGUAUAUUAUGCUUAAGAUCGUGGUAAAAAACAAAUCAUGGUUUUGCCCCAGAGGUGGUGAAAAUAUCAUCACUUUGUCUGAUGAUACGUGCAGUAAAUCACAUCAUAGGCAAACCAUCUAUAAGAAUUUAUAUUAAAAAAUAUCUAUUUAUCUAGCAAAAAAAGUUCACAGAAGGAGGUUAAAGAAAACAAGCAUAAUAUUCUUCCAACAGGGCUAUGUAAUCAUGCAAGAAGAAACGACCGAGGAACGCACAUUCAAAUUCUGCAAAACCAUAAAUUCAAACCAAUGACUCAAAUCACAAUUAGUAAUGUCAUGAUACGUUCAACACACCAGAAAAUCAACAAUCAGUGCCUCAUAUUAAGGUAAUUUCAUUGCUGUUGCUCAUAGUAUAUCUAAACCCAUCACAGGCACAACAAAACUUUAGUAAGUUCUUAUUCACUCAAAGUUCUAAAUCACUUUGAUACCAAAAGGGAAAAACUUUGGACACAGUAAGUAAUUUAAAUCUUAAAAAAUGCCGUGUCAACACUAACUAGAGAAGCUGCAGGCAGAAGCAGACUUCAAUAAAUUACUUAAAUUGAAAUUCUAGAGCAAACCAUGCUAGCUCUAGAGCCACCAUAGGCACUGUUGAGGCUCAACAUCCAGCACAUACUAAUUUGUACAUUAAAUGGAAAUUCUUCUUCCUUUUAAUUGAAUUAAGAAUUUGACAUUGAGAAAGAACUCAUGCCAUCAUAAUAAAUAUGUCAAAUGAAACUAAAGCAAUGUAUUUAACUCUCUCAAAGAACACCAAUCAAGCAAUAAUGCAUAAUCUUGACAAAGAAUAAGAAGCCGUCCACAUUACCAAAACACUAAUUAAUUACCUCUCAUUAACCAUCAUAAAAAAAAUGAACUAAAAUAAAUAUACGGACACAGAAGAAGAUUGAAGAGCCUGUACAAAUGCAUCAGAUCUGAUGAUUCUUAUUUUGACAGCAUCAUCAUUCUCCAGAAAGGAGUGGCUGAUUGUUGGUCUUGUUUAUCAUCACUUGCAAUAUAAGCUCUAACAAAUUGAAAAAAAAAAAAUCAAUACUUUAACUAUCCCAAACUUGCUAGGGGGAAGAAAUAAUAUGAUUUGGAUUUUUUCAUGGAUAUAGAACAUGAUAGCAUAUAAAAAGUUAACAUCAUCAUAGGCACAACUAUAAUAGAAUAAAUGCAACAAAACCAAGACAAGGAAACAAUCUAUCAAAAGCAAGAAAAAAUUAUCAAAAUUAAGCAACCGAAUGCUUGCAAAAAAGCAUAGAAAGAUCAAAACUUUCAUAUACUGGGCAUUAGAGUAGCAAAACAACUUAAGCGAGUUGGUCAUGAACAUAUUGAAAGACCAAAAAGGAAAAGAAAACUGUGGAAGUAGAGGAAAACUCUAGGUUUUGUUAAAGACAAAAGCAGGAUGAUCCUUGCAUGCUGUCCGCUUGUUGCAACAAAAAUGUUUACUCCCUCGAACAGCUUUAGGCCCAUUUGUUUAGAAUUUUAGGUUUAAGGUCCAACACAAACAACUAGACCCUAGAAGAAACUAGUGACAAAAUAUCAGUUAGGAUAAGCUUGGCUCUGGUAAGAUUCAUAGUCUUUAGCUAUCUAGGCCUCUUGCUAGAGCCCAAUAUGACAUUACCCGUAUCCAAAUCGGAGUGCUUGUUUUCUUCGAGGUCUGAGGGUGAUGGAUCCACUGGCGUAAUCAGUCGUGUCUUAUCAACCACGACGACUUUUUGACACAAAAGUUGCUCAACAAGAAUUGAAUUUCCAUUUUCUGUCCAAUUGAAAUGCAUGCAUACUCGAAUGGACUGAAGUUUUUUGGAUUUUUAAAGUUUUUAAUAGGAAAAAUACAAUGUGCUGUUAUGAUACUCAACGUUUUUUAUGCAUGCAUGAGAUAUUAUAACAGGUAAGCUUGCCUUCUCAAGUAUCUGUACUGAUAAAAAAAAAAUCUUGACUUGUUCAAUCUUAUCCAAUUCAAUAUCAUGCCUCAUCGAAUUCCAUUUUCUUACCGAACAAACCUUUUGAAUAUCCUUACAUGAUGACACUAAGGAGCUCGAUUUUACAUUUGUUUCCACAUGUUUAAUCCGUGAUAGGACGCCCAAAGAAAAAGAAAAGGCAAAGGAAGAUAUGAGAAUAAAAACACCAAGGAAAGUUCGAUUUGGAAAUUUGCGUAGAAAAAGGGAGAGAUUUUCGGAGCUUCAAGCUCGAGGUAGAAAGAAAAAAGGUUACGAUCGAGGUGACAGAAAAAGAUGGAUACCGAACACUACUCAAUUAUUAAUCUCAAUCAAUCCAUGCACAUACAUCUGCGAAGGAUCCAAGACUUUGAAAAAUACAAAGAUUUCUUCUAUAUUUUAUUGUUAAAUUUUUAACCUGGCAAAUUAUAUCAAACCACUGUAUGACCCAAGAAAUCUCAUUCUGUUUUUUUUUUUAAUUAUUAUUAUUAGGCCUCCAUUUGGUGUCCAAAAUUCAAAUCCUUCCGGUUUAAGAUUAUUAGUGAGUUUCACAUCACCAAUAUCUGCUGCUUUUUUAGCUAGAAAAAGUUUCUUCAGCAGGCUAUGCUAGCAAAGUCAAAAAAGAGAGGUAGGUAACCUUGAGUAAUGGCAUUAUGGCACGUCAACCUAUCCUGUCAACGUGGACACCCAAGCAAGAAAAUCACGUAAAAGGUAUCUUUACGGUUGCAUUUUAAUAUUUUUAGGGUCUCUCUCAAUCAAGAAAAACCUUACCCAUGAUGUUUUUUAUGUAGGGAAGUGACAUAUAAUCCAAUCUUCUGUUUCACAAAAGGAUUUGCUACAGAGUGACCGCCUAGCUUUGCCUCUUAAAGCUUCUCUACUCAAGAAAAUGUGGAGGGAGGCUAAUCUAUCUUUCUGCAUAAAUGGCAUGUAGCUGUCUUUCGAAUGACAUGGGUGGAUGCCAAGAAAGUUUACGAGACUUGACAGUUGCAGACAUGAUGCAUAAACCAUGAACAAGUAAUGUAAAUAUCAGAAUAGUGGCUUGCUCAAGACGAGAGCAAGCAAGCCAAAACAAUAGCUAAAAGAUGGGCAGUCUCUGUAAUCUGCAGCAUAUCUAAUUUCUAAUAUCUAUAUAUUACAGUCAUUGGAUCAGUAGCCUGAUCCUUGCAUGCUUGAAGGUCAAGACCUUGGGGGGAUGAUUCAAAUUCUAAAAGAAACCUAGUAAAUUGAUUUACAUCAAUAUGUAAUACGUGUAGCACAAUGUGAAGGCUUUGAUCUUCCCAUGGUAAUAUAAUGGGGAACAAAAAGAAAACUGUACAAGGGCAAGGACGACGCAUUUUAUAAUAUGCUUAUUUAUAACAGAAUAAUACAAUAGAAACUUGGUCAAGAUUUCAACAUUAUAGAAACUUGGAAUAGAGUUUACUUUACAAGUAUACCUUCCCAUGUCCACCCCAACUGAAACUAAGAACCCUGAAACUAAGUGCAGUAUUAUUAUAGCUCAUUGUUGAGCAGCUUGGAAUCCAAUACCAUCAAGCCAUGAAACAACUUCUUCGAUAAGGGGUCUCCUCCUAGGAUCUUGGUCUAAGCAUCUGCAUGCAAUUUCGAGCAUUUCAAACAGCUGUUUCUGACGAUCUUUACCCCAAAUUGCUGAGUCUAUAAUCUCUGCCUCCCUUUUCUCGGACUUCAUCUGAAACAGCCAGGAAACCAAAUUUCUGCAGUUUUUUCCUUUGCAAACUUCCACGGGCCUUCUACCGGUAAGAAGUUCAAGAAGAACAACACCAAAACUGUAAACAUCACCCCUGCAUGUUGCCAUCAAUGUUUGGCUAUAUUCAGGAGGUAUAUAACCUAAUGUACCUACCAAAUCUGUUGUCACAUGAGUAUCGUAAGGACAAAGUAGCCUUGAGAGACCAAAAUCAGCCAAGUGAGCUUCAAAUUUCUCGUCUAGAAGUAUGUUGCUCGAUUUCACAUCUCGGUGAACUAUAUGUGGCUCGCAAACUUUGUGCAGAUAUGCUAACCCACAAGCUGCUCCUUGAGCUAUCUUGAGUCUCACCUCCCAUUUAAGUACUGAGCCGCCAUCAACAGAUUCAUGCAGCCAAUAAUCCAAGCUUCCAUUUUCCAUGUAAGAGUAAAUCAAUAAUCUGUCAUUACCAUGCCUACAAUAACCUUGAAGAGAAACAAGGUUUUUGUGUUGAGCCCUUGAGAGAGCUUCCACUUCAGCUUGAAAUUCUCGUUCCAUCUGACCACAAUCCCCAGAAAGCCUCUUGAUUGCAGCUUUUGUACCGUUGGGAAGGUUGGCUUUGUAAACCAGGCCGAAUCCACCACAACCAAUGAUGUUUGCUUGGUUGAAGUUAUUUGUUGAUUUCAACAAAUCUGGAACUGUGAGGUCUUUGCAAUCAGAAUUCUGAAAAAGCACCAACUUGGAAGACCUGAGAGCUUCAGAUAACCUGUGCGGAAGACUGACUUCCUCCUCCAAAUCACCAAUAGGAUCCCCCACAUUCCUCCUUGACAUCUUGUGCAAAACAACAGCGAGGACCAGCGCAAGCCCAACUACUAUAGUGAUUGUUAUGCUAAGAAUAUUGCCUCGACCAAAUCUACUACUGUCUGAACCAGAUGGGAUACCAGGCUUCAUCAUAUUAUUAAUGACAUUACAGGGAGAGACUAUUACCCCACAGAGUCCCGGAUUACCCUCAAAGCUUGAGCUAGGAAAGCUAUAGAACUGCCCUCCGCUGGGAAUUUGUCCCCUCAAGUGAUUAUUAGCCACACUAAACUUCGACAGGAAUGUCAGCUUCUCAAGCGAUGGGGGGAUUGACCCAUACAGAUUGUUGGAUGACAAAUCUAAAACUUCCAGGUUUUCCAUCUGAGAAAAGGAGCUAGGUAUGGUCCCCGUAAUGUUGUUCCUGCUCAAAUCAAAGACAUGGAGGUCUUGCAGCCUUCCAACUUCAGGUGGAAUUGUCCCAGUUAUUCUAUUGUUGCUCAACAAUAUUGAAGGAGGGAAACUUGAGGCUUGGUUGUACUGCAAACCACUAGCACUCUGGUUUCGCUUUACAUAUAGAGGAAUACCAGAAGAGGCAGUUAGAUGGGGUGAACUGCUGUUUGCGAGGCUCUUUAGCUGAGUCAAACUUAGGGGGAUCUCUCCAGUUAGGGAGUUAUUUGAGAAGUCCAGGUAAAACAAAUUCUCCAUCUGGCCAAUCCAAGAAGGAAUACUUCCAUCCAGAUGAUUCCAAGACAAAUCAAGAACUUCUAACUUCCUGCAUCUCAACAGCCAAACUGGGAUUUGGCCUUUGAGAGCACAAUUUCCAAAUGCUAAGACCAUUAAAUUCCGGAAACCACUUACAUUUCUGGGAAUUUCCUCACCAACGAAGUUCUUUGUGAGGAUAAGAGUGGAGAGAUUUUGGCAUUGCUGCAGUACUGUAAGUGCCCCAGAUAAGUCCACAAAACUAUUGUUGGACAAUGAGAGAAACAAAAGUGAUGAGAGAUUUGCGAAACUCUCGGGGAUUUUUCCGGUUAAUUCAUUCUUAACCAGGCUCAAGAUCUUCAAUUCGCGGCAAACAGAUAGAGAAUUUGGAAGUGGCCCAGAAAGGUGAUUAGAGGCAAGAUCAAGUGUACAAAGACUAGGCAUUCCACUGAAAUUAAGAUCAAUUGGACCAGUUAAAGAAUUGUUUCUAAGGUCAAGAAUGUGAAGCUUUGAGCAGAAUGACAGUGUUGAAGGCAAAGGUCCAGACAACAUAUUUGAAUGGGCAACAAAUUGUUCUAGAUAUGUAAGGUUGACAAAUGCAUUUGGUAUAUGGCCUGAAAACUGGUUUCCAUAAAUAACCAGGUUUUUAAGAUUAAAGAGCUUACUCACUUCCUUGCUUAACUGGCCAGAGAAAUUGUUGUUGGGGAUAGAGAAGUGCUGCAAAGCUGACAUUGAGUAUAAAAAAUCAGGGAGAGAGCCUGAAAGUGAAUUGGAGUCCAAAUGCAAUUGUUGAAGAGAUCUGCUGCAAUUGAACAAGCCUUCAAGAUCGCCCACGAGAUGGUUCGCAGAUAAAUCAAGAAUCUGAAUCCCUUCAGAGGAGCUGCAAAUUUGAGAACUGAUUCGACCAGUGAACGAAUUGUUGCUCAUGUUGAACGCAACAAGAUUUGGGUAUCCUCCAAGCUCAAGCAAGUCUUCCUUGAACAGAUUGCUGGAAAUGUUCAGUGUCCGAAUGGAUAACAAACGAGAAAGCACCCCUGAAACUUGUCCUGAUAGCAAGUUAUGGCUCAAAUCAAGAUCCUCCAACUGCUUCAAGCUCGAGAGCUCCGAAGGCAAUCCACCACUGAGUUGAUUGAAAGAGAGAUUAACUGAUUUCAGCUGAUCUAAGCGGCCCAAGGAGGGCGGAAUUAACCCUUGAAGACCCAUUUUGGACAGAAUCAGCAUGGUAACCCUGCUGUGAAUUGAGCCAUUGAUAUUACUUCGACAUACAACCCCUUCCCAUUGACAGCAGUCAGUCUUGCUGGACCAUGAUGUUAUGAUGGACCCAUUCGUGAGCUUUCCUGCAAAUUCCUUCAGGGCCCGCAUAUCAUUUGGAUCACAGGAUUGAGUUGUGGUUUUGAGACCCCAAGAUGAACAAAGAAAGCAAGCAAAGAACACCGAUCUGAGGAAAGUCAUUGGAGCAGUCUCCACCAUCGCCAUUACUGAAAUCAAAGCUUAGCCCCAGCUCAAAUCAAGGCAAAGACUCCCGCAUUGAAGUUGAUAUUUCUUGGGCAUUAACUGCUUUUCAAGAGAAGAAGCCCAAUUGAAGGAACUCGCAUGUCAAAUCUCCAGCCAAAAAAAAAAAAAGCAGCUCGCAAGUUCCAAAUUGCAAAUGAAGCAACAAAAGGAAGUGAAAUUAAGAGAUAUCACCAAUCCCCACUUGAAAUCAAAUCCCUAUAACUUUAAGAAACCAAGACCAUAGUGAUGCCCUUUAGAGAAAAGAAAGGAAAAUAAAACAAGCACCCCAAAUGAACAAACUUCAAAUGCAAAACACCUCAGGAACCACAAAACAAGGACCGAGUUAACAACUUGAAAGCGAAGCAAUAAUUCACACCACUAAACAAGAAAAAAAAAUAAGAUUAUAUAUAGAUAGGUGAAGCCAGCCAAACAAACUGAGAUCUCUUGACCCCACUUGAAACCUAAACCCUUCACAAAAAAAAUAAAAAAAUAUAUAUUCAACUAAUCCCCAAAACCCUAUACUGUUCAACAACCACUACUGUGAGAGCAAGAAAGUCAUCCAAAUGAAGCAACUUCAAACACACAUCCCAAAGCACCUACAAGCCAACAAAAAGCAACAUUUAGCAAAUUAAGCAACAAUUAACAACUAAGCCAGAUCCCAAGAUCAAAGCUUUGAAGAAGAGUUGAUAAGAUUAUUGAAGAAAGAAAGAAAGAAACUUUAGCGAGUCUGGAGUCAUAUAAGAAGAACCCACCUCAAGGGUUCCAACGAUGCAUUAAGACAUCACUUGCAAGUGAAAUAGAAGUACCAUGUCAAUACAGCAGCCCACAGUUGCCAACUUUUCAAGAAAUAGGUUCGUUCCCAUUUCAAAAACCUCUCUCUCUCUCUCUCUCUCUCUCUCUGAAAACGUAAAAAAGCAAUUAAGGAAAGCAACAGGUGACAGAAUCUAGAGAAAGAAAAAGAUAUCGAAGGGACAGGAAAUACAGAAGCGAAUCUAUAGUUUCUUGGACAAAGAAAACAACAAAAUACACACUCAAACUUGUGAGAGAUAAUAGUAUGUGUUUAUGACUUGAAAUGAAGACACAAGGGCUGACUUUUAGAGGAUUAAUGAUUUUAUUUCAUCACUUUACUUUUGUUUUGUUUCACUUGCCAGUUAACGAGCCACUCGGGCUUCUUCUCUCUACGUAUCUCUUACCUAAUAUUUGUCCCUUGCUGAGAAAAAACUGAGAAUAUUUGGUGGAGAAAUUUGAUUGCUUAGAGAAUGAGGUUCGCUUGCCUUCGAGGGAGGAUCGAUUAUAGGGAUUUGGAAGUCCAAGCUCAAUGUUUGAAAUAUGUGCGUGGAAGAAGACCACCAUGUCUCUCAAUCAAUCUCUGCAAAAUUAUUAAAAAAUAAAAAAAACUUCAAAUAUUUUUAAAAUACAAAAAGCAUCUUUCACGUAAUUAUAUUUUAAAUCCUUGAUUUUGCAGGAACUAUAAUAAUAUAAUUUUAUUUACAAUUAAUUUUUUUAUUUAUUUUACAUAUAAGAAUUUAUUUUACAGUAAUCUUGAUCAAAUUUAUAUUUUAAAAUUAUAACUAAAAAUAUUUUUAUAAAUCUGAUUUUUUUAAAUUGUGAUAGCAAAGUUAAACAAAGUCAUUGUGGCGUAAAGGGACGCGCUCUAAGGGUUGAUGGGGGGAACAAACAAAGAAAUAUGGAAAAGGGAGUAAAGGAAGUCAAACUGUCAGAGAUAAUAGGACACGAGAAUUGACUGGUUGUAGCCGGUGGAUGGAGCCCACCAUGUUUGAUAUAUAAAUUGAUUUGAAAAUACAUUUUAUCGUAAAAUUAAAAAAAAUUAAAAAUUACACGUGACAAUUUAAGCAAAGUCGAUAUAGCUAGGUCAUUUUCUAAGUGCGUGAUUACAUGUGACAAUUUUAAGCAAAGUCGAUAUAACGAGGUCAUUUUCUAAGAUCAUGUUUAGUAUUUUUAUUAUUGUUUUAUUUUAAAAAAAUAUUAAAUUAAUAUUUUUUUAUAAUUAUAAUGUGUUGAUAUAAAAAAUAAAAAAUAAAAAAAUAUAUUUAAUUUAUUUUUAAGCAAAAAAUACUUUUGAAAAGCAUCAUGUAUUACGAGUUGUUUAGCAUUGUAGUAAUGAUUGUUUUUCAAAAGUAUAUUUUGUUUAUAAAUGCAUUAAAAUAGUAUUUUUAUAUAAUUAUGAUAUGUUAAGCGAAAAAUAUUUUUGAAAAGCAUCAUGUACCGCGAGUUGUUUGCAUUGUAGCAAUUAUUGUUUUUCAAAAGUAUAUUUCGCUUAGAAAUGUAUUGAAAUAGUAUUUUUAUAUAAUUAUGAUAUGUUAAUAUAGAAAAUUAAAAAUUAAAAAAAAAUAUUUAAUUUAUUUUCAAACAAAAAAUACUUUUGAAAAGCAUCAUAUACUAUGAGUUGUUUGGCAUUAUAGUAGUGGUUGUUGUUUUUUCGCUUGAAAAUGCAUCAAAAUAAUAUUAUUAUUUUUUUAAAAUUAAUUUUUGAUAUUAGCACGCCAAAACGAUAUAAAAACACUAAAAAAUAAAACAAAAAGGUUUUCCAACCACUAUUACAAACGAGAACGCAUUAAGAAAUAGAACAAGAAGAGCUAUUCUAAGUGGAAACAAAUUGUAAUAAAAAAUAUUACUUCAAAAGUAUAGCUAUAUGGUUGAUGUUUUUUAUGAUAUUUUGGCUGCUUUACUGUAUGGGUCCUCCUUCUUUUUUCUUUUUUUUUUUAUUUUUUUUUUUAUUUUUUUAUUUUUUUGAGGAAGAUCAUGAGUGAUGAUGGAAUCUUCCUAAGUAAGCUUGCAGAAACCGAGACAUUUCAUGGUCCUCAAUUGAUGGUAUUGUGCACGAUUUCUCACCAAUGAUGAUAGCCAUUUUCACACCUUUUUUCUAAUGACCAAUUGAGAGCUGACACUGCUCGUAAAAGGGCAAAGGCUGAAAGGAUAGUCCACUUCCAAUCAUUUCCUUCCCUUUUUCUCUGUUUCCUCCAUCAUUCACCUGCCUGGGCUGAAAAUAAAAUGCCGAUGGUUAAGAUGGGCCUGUCUUUCCAAAAACAAAAUUAAUAUGGGCCUAAUUGUGUCCAAAGUACUGACUGUGCUGGGUCAUGGGCCUCUACUCCUUUUCUGGGCUUGGAACGGAGGAUGUUUCACUAAUGGAAACGGAAAUGAUGAUUACAAAGCCCAUACGACGGAUGCAGCUCUCCCCCUUGAACAGCAUUUCACCGUAGAGCAAGGCGUUGGGAGCACAGAUUCCGUCUCUUUACACGCACCAAUAACUCCCCCGAAUACAGAAAAAUCAAAGUAAAUUCCACUUUAAAAUAUCAUUGCCGUCUUUGAUUUAUUAAACUUUUUCAACUAUUAAUAACCUCAUAAAAAUAAAUAAAUCUCGCGGUUGCAUCUAGAUAGGAAUAUUUUACCGAGGGACGUUUUAAUAUAAAAUAUAUUUUAUAUUUUAUUGAAGCAUGAAAUUAAAAAUAAAAAUUAAUUUAAUAAAAAGAUUUAAAAAAUAAUUAAAAGAAUGAGAAUCAAAAUUAAUAUACGGAAUAAAAAUAAUUUUUUUAUUGAAAUGUGAAAUUGAAAAGAAAAAUAAUUUUAACAAAAGAAAAUAAUCAAAAUAACGAGGAUCAAGCUGGUAAAAAUAAUAUGACAUAAAUUUGGAUUGAAUGAUAAAAUUUUUUUAAAAAAUUAAAGAUCAAAAGAUUAAGGACCAGAUUAAAAAUAAUAGUAUAUGACCAAUUGAGAUAAAAUGAUGAAAUUGAAAACAAAUAAGAUUUUUACAAAAGAGCCAAGAACAAAAUUUAGAAGUAAAAAGAGUAGGGAUUGAACUUGAAAUACCAACAACAAAGAGGACUACGCCGUUAUUUUAGGAGGAGGAGAGAGUAAAGAAUAAGAAAAAAAAAGCAUCACCGGCUAUAAACCAGUCAUCCAACAUUGACACACGCCGCCUCAAAAAUAAGAGGACGCAGCAGUGCUUCUAACAACACGACAAAAAAGCUUUUUUAGCGGGCAGGAGGCUAUGCACACACCAAUUGCUUUUUAUUUUUUCCUUGUUCUCUUUCUUUACUAAAAGACCAAAUUGCCCCUCAACUUACCUGAUAAUAACAAAAAAAUCUUUGUAAAUAGACCAAAAGAAGGCAUUUUAGUUGUUUCACUGUUUUUUUUUUAUUUUCUUUGUCUGGUCAAAUAUCAAAAUGUCCCUUCAUCUAAUAUGAUAAUUACAUAAAACCAUUGUGAAGAUACAAAAUUGCCCUUUAACUCUAGUUUUAAUUAUUUUUCAUUUCAAUGGUAUUUUAGUUGUUUCACUGUGCAAUUAAAAUGAAAAAUGACUUAUUUGUCUCUUAUCAAUUUUGUAAUGACUAACGGGUGUUUUGAAAAGACUUCAAUACUCAUAAUAGCUAGUGUUAGAUUUUUUUAUGCGAGGGGCAAAACUGUAAAAACACUAUUUUAGUAAAAAAUGUUUUCAUCCACAUGAUUUAAGUGUUUUCAAAAAAUAUUUUGGUUUUGUUGAUUAAAAAUAAUGGAAAAUAACUCCAUAUGUGGUUAUAUUUUUAGAAUGUGUCUAAUUUAUCCUUACAUGUAUAAUUGCAUUUAAUCUAAUAUUAAAAAGUUGGUGGGGCUAUAAUUUAUUAUUUCAUUAGUAUGUGUUUGAUUAGUGCCCCAAGAUAGAUAUAAAAGAUACAUAAAUGUAUUUGUUAAAGAAAGAAAGACAAAUACAUAAAAUAAAUAUGUUUCUUAAACAAUUUAGGAGUGAGUUUCUAUACUUUUAAAAUAAAAAGUACAGAGAGAUAUGUCUUAAUUAUCUUUUUUUUUUUAUCCCGAGACAAUAAUUAAACACUACUUUAGAUUUUUUUUCAUCGUAACUAUACAUCACUUGACUUGCACAUGACCAAGUUUAGAUUUUAUAUGUCUAAAAUAACCUCUUAUUAAAAGACAUAUAGCAAAAAAAGAAAGUUUGAGAUUUUAAUUAGGGUUUGAUAAAUUGAUAUUUAAUAUAUAGUUUUCAUAAGUUGUAUAAUAAAAAAAAUUCUCCUAAGAAAGUUCCUGUUCAUUGAGACUUAUAUUACUAUUCAUUGUAAUAGUGUCAUUAUGAAAUUAUCAUUGAACAAAAAAAACCUUUGAACUAGGUUGUCAUAACCCAAGUUUAGAUCCCCAAAAUUAUUUUAUAAAAAAUACAUAUUAUUUUAUUCAAAAAUAGAAAAAAAUUAGAAAUUCAAAAUCCAAAAAUAUUUUUGAGACACGAGUAAAUAAGCCUUUGAGCUGCAAUAGAUCAAAAUACUAAAAGAAUAGUCAGGAAAGGAUAUUUUGACAAGAUGGGAUAAAGAAAUACUUAAUAAAAAGAAAAUGGAGGUUGAAAUCCAAAUUUGACCAAAAUUAGAAGAAUUAAUUAAAUUUAAGAAAAUAGUUAAACUUUUAAUAGGUUUAAUUGACUUAUCUAAGGAUUUAAUUGAAGAAAAAUUAAGUUUAAAAGUCAAUUGGAUAAAAAUUGAAAGAAUUAAUUAAGUUUAAGGACUUAAUUAAACUUCUAAUGGUUUUUGUAAAUUUAAUCAAGGAAUUGAAGAAAAAUCAAGUUUGGAGACCAAUUCGAGUAAAUCUGUAUUAAUUGGAAGAAAAGAACUCAAUUAAGACUUUGAAUAGCCAAAUUGGUGCGAUGAGGAAUUUAAUUGAAAUAAAUUUAAAGGUUGAAGGUUGAUUUAAGGCCAAAACGAAGAAUCCUAAAACCAAGAACCAAGAUGAAAGAUGUGCGUGCAUGCAAGACUCAAAUUGAUUAAAUCAUGAGUCAAUUUGAAACAAAUUAAAAGUUUGACGAGAAAUAGAGGUCAUAUUGUAUAAUCUAGAAACUAAUGCCUAAUUUGUAAAAGGCAUGAGAAUAAAAUUAUCUCAAUCAAUGUUUCCAUUGAUGUAGUUGCAGAAAUUGAGAAGUUUUUUUGUCAAUUAAGAGUGCAUAAGCUAAAAUUAGAAGAACAUGUCCCAACACAAAUAAACCGAGAAAAACUUUCUCUACAAAUAUCAAAUAUCCUUAUCAAACAUUUGUAUCUCAUUUGACACAAUAAACUUGACAACAUUUUGUCCCUAAUCAGCAUUUCCUGUAUUAGUAAAUUCAAGAUGAUAGAUGGUUAAUCUUCCAAUCAAUGAUUAUAGAGUUUUGGACCUUCAAAUCAAGUGCUGUUUAUUUCCAAUGAUAGAUAUACAUACCAUCUACAAGAUAUAUGCCUAUCAAUGAUUUUUUGAUGUCUCAAUCUCCACAAUAAUCUUGAUAAAAUACCUAACUCUAUCAUCUAUGACUGAAGAAUAAAUUCACCAUGAUAGAAAAGACUUCAAUGAUGUUUUCUCGUGUAAGCUAUUUUAUAAGUGUUAAACACUAUCAUAAGACCUACCUCAGCAUGGUAGGUCAACCUAGCAACUCAGAACCAAACCCAAGUCACUGACUCAAAUAGCUAAAAAAACAAGUGAGGCAUUCAAAUUAAAAAAAUAGUAAAAAAUUAAGUACCAAAUAAAGAGUUUUCUCAUAUGAGAUUCUUUGCACUAAUUUACUAUGAUGAGAUUUUAUGAGGGAAACAUACCAAGAUACACAUUAUUUUCUAAUGAUAUAAAUUUAUACAAAGAUCAAUCAAUCAUAACCUUUUGUUCCUAUUUAUAUAUAUUUUGGUGCAUGGAUUCCAACCUUAGUUUUGGUUAUAUAUUAAAACUAUCUAGUAUAAUUCCAUGUGAACAUUUUUGUUUUGUUUUGUUUUGUUAUUUUCUAUUUACUUAAACCAGUAUUGUUUGUCAUUCCAUAUUAAAGUUAUUAUUUAUUAUGUGUAUGGCUAUUAUUUUUUUAUGAAAAUAAUUGAUUGAUGAGUAUAUUAAAGAAAAAGUUUAUAAGUGGGUAUGCUUGAUAAAUUUUAUAAUAAAUGCAAUUCGUUUGAUCACUCUUUAAAGAUAAAAGAGAUGAAGACAACAAAAAUAGAAGAGAGACAAGAUAGAAGUAAAAAACAAAAAAAAUAAUUAUAUUUGGAAGUGAUGUAUAAGAUAAAAUGACCGUUUCUGUAUUCUAUUUGUUUGAUGGUGAAAAAGAUAUAAAGAAAUUAUUUUAUAUUACUGUCAAACUUAUAUAUUUUUUUAAAAAAUAGAUAUUAUUUUAUUUUAUAUUGAGUGUUCAAACUAACAUAUUACCAAUAUGAAUUUAAAAAGAAAUAGAAAAGUGAUUGACUCGAUUUGAACAGAUAAAAACCCAGGUUGAUCCACAAUCAAUGGUAAAACCUGUGUAAGAAAUUUAUUAACUUAAAAACUUAUAAUUUUAGAAUAAAAAGUUAUUUAUAAUGAUAUUUUAAAGAUAAGAAAUAAAAAACUGUUAUAUUUAGAAACAUGUAUUCCUUAUCUUUUAUCUUAAAAAUAUAAGAAUUAUUUUAAAAAUAAAUAUAUUUUUAUCUUUAAUUUUUUAUAUAUCAGUAAAGUAAUCAUUUUUCUAUGAAAAAGAAGAAGAAGCUAGGUUCCGCAAUUCAGCGCCGUCAUUAAUAGAUAGAUCUUUCAUUUUUGUAAACAGAUAUGUCUGAUGCAUAAAAAGAAGAAGAAAAUCAUCCUAAGCCAUCCGAUUAGCUUGGUUUAGCACCGGUUGAGAUUCGAUGAAGAAGACACCUCUCGAACUUGUCUCUAUGCCAACUUUUUAGAGAACAGAUUUGGAGACCCUACUUUAUCAACGGUAUCAAGAGCGGAGCGACCAAAACCAUUGAUCAUUGAGGAGAGUGAAACAAACAUGACGGAGAUCAAGGCUGUAGGCGUGGUGGGCAGUGGCCAAAUGGGCUCUGGUAUAGCCCAACUCGCCGCCGUACACGGGCUCGAUGUGUGGCUGCUUGACACGGAUCCCGCUGCUCUCUCUAGAGCCACAAAGUCUAUCACCUCUAACAUCCACCGUCUCAUCUCCAAAGGCCAACUCUCCCAGGUAAUAAAUCUCUGAAGUUCCAAAAUCUCUUUUUAAUAAACUUUCAUAAAUUAAAAUUAGAUAUAUAAAUACCAUUAUGAAAAUCGAAAUGUUGAGAAGUUUUGUUGAUGAUGCAAAUCUGAGAAGUGUAGAGUUAGAGAAUAAUUUGUUCACAUUUAAAAUCAUAAAAGAACCUAAAAAACAAGAAACAGCAUAAAAAUGAAGUAGAAACGUUCAGUAGAUUUUUGUUUUUCAGCAAGUAUAUUUCACAAUUUCAUAUACUAAAUAUUUUUCAGCCAUGCUUUUGAAUGUAUGAUAUAUCCAACACCUUAUCCUAAAAUAAAGAAAAAUACACAAAAUUAAAAUGAUCAUGAGACAAUAUUCAGUAGCAUGUAUUACACGUUUGACAACUCGUUCUGAUAAUUAGCCAGUGAUGAAACUACCAGUUCAAGUUAGAGCACUCUGCUGGAUUACUCCUUGACCAUAAUAAAUGUAAUUGGUAAUAAGCUUAAAAGAGUUCCUUAGUGGCUAAAGUUGCAUUAUUAAUGAUUGCUUGAUUCAACUAAAUCAACUAGUUGUUCUACAUUACUUCUGGGCAAUGCAUUAUGAUGACAAUUUUCCCUGUGAGUUUAGACCACUUGCUUCUUUAAUGCUUCAUCAGCCUUCAAAGAAAGGGGGGCAUCUCCAAUAUUUUGACAUGGAAGAUGGUGAGAUUGAGCAGGUCCAAGCCAGACCCUAAACCGAACAAAAUGUCCGGUUGAAUAAUAAGUUCAUGAGUUGGAUUUUAGGCGUUGCUACGGGCUACUUCUGGAAACGCGCGCUGCUUUUAAUUGUGAACAAUUAAAAGAAAAGAAAAAGCGCUUUCUAAGCAUGCAAUCAAGAGCUAAUAGCAUUAAAAGAUAUAUGAUUUGGCUUUCAAGUAACAGAUAAGCAACAUGCUAAAAACUUGUUUAAACUGUCUCGAAUCUUAUAUAAAAAUCAAAUUGUAAAAUAUAAAGGGAUAUCAAUCUAACAUGGACAUUGUUUGAGCAACUCAAAAUAAAAAAUGGCAUGAUGGAAAAAAAGAGUAUGAAAGCCUAACUUUUGAGUGAGAAGUGGUCCCACCAACUGUUAGCAAGUAAAGAGUAACAAAUGUUUGUCAAUUCCUUGUUACUGCAAGGACUUGGAUAACUUAAGUGUCUGCAAAAACAUUUUAUGUAUCCAUCUAUGUGUUAGGACCCAAUAUAUAAAAUGAAAUUGAUACAUACCUCAAACACGUCUUAAAAAGUAAAUUUUCCCCCCAAGAGAAAGCAACCUAAGAGCACCUAAAAACUUUAAACUUUGUUGGGCAAGCAUUGGCCAAAUAGUUUCUUCCACCAAAGUUUGCAUAUAUAUAUAUAUAUAUAUAUAUAUAUAUAUAUAUAUAUAUAUAUAAAACUCCUAAAUAUAAAUUGAAAAACUUAUGCACGCAUCUAAUUAAACAACUUAAUAACUAUUGUGUAAAGUAAUGAAAAAAAAAAUCAAGAUAUCUAACAUCGCAACACGGGUAAUUUACCUGGUUAUGUGUAAUGAAUUCCUUUAUCAAAAUAAAUUUGUAAUAGAAAAACAAAUUAAAUAUGUAAUAGAAACCAACACAAAAUUUAUAAAAAAAACAAUGCAAGGCUGCCCAUAACACAUAAAAUUUAUUGAACAAUAAAAAAAAAAACAAUGCAAGGUUGCACAUAUGAAAAAUCUUAUAAAAAAAUCAAUAUUAAAAAAAAUUAAUCUAUAUAAAAUUAAGAAAAAACCACAUAUAAAUCAUACCUAUCUCUCUAAAAAUUAAACACAUUCAAUAUUAUUUAAAAAUAAUCACAAUCUAAUUAAAAUAGAAACCAAAAAUUUAUUUGAAAAAAUAUACACAAACAAUGCAUUAUUUUUUAAAAAACUAAAAAUUAAAAAAAAAGAAUAAUAAAAAAAACAACCAGGCUAGGUGCUGCUAGGCCUGGUAAGCCAACCCAAUAAAGCAACAGUCCGCACGUGGGCUUUUAUUUUUUAAAAAAAGUGUAAUGGGGCCGACGACGCGUUGUCCGCCCCAAAUAGUUAAAAAAAAAAAAGACGCGCUUGGGAAGCCUAGAAUCCAGCCACUGUGGUGCUGAAAAAAUGGGGUCCUUCAUUUUUUCAUCCAAAAUCUCAUUUUCAACCCAUUUUUGACCAAAAACAUCUAGAAAACACCCUAGAGACCUUAAACCAAUCCAUGGCCACCAAAAAGCCAACAAACCGCCUUAAAACCCGAAAUCCACUUAAAAAAAAAAUUCUUUCCGAGCUCAGAUUUGUUGUUUUAGGUGUUGUCGAGGUAAAAAAACACCUGAAUAUAACCCCCCUCAUCAUAUGAAAUCUUUUGACAUAAAAAUCAACCGUUUUGGUGACUAUAAUCUUCCCCAACGACUACUUUUUCUUUUUAGGCUGGAAUCCCACGACUCUCUCUCUCUCUCCUCCCAACAGAAAAAGACUGAAAAUAUAGGAAAAUGAAGUUAGGUACCAAAAUAUAGUCUUGAAAUUCAAGGGACUGAUUACCUAAUAUCUAAAAAAUGUAGGAGUUUAAAAUGAAUGUUGCAACAAAACUUUCAACCUGCCCCCCAAUGUUAUCCGAAAGUUUUGCUUUAGUCUCUUAGCUUUCAAUUCAAUCUUUCUUUCUUAAAAAAAUUAUGCAAUUAGGGGUUAAUUUGGGCUAAAAAUGCUAAAAUCAUGCAAAAUAAAAGUUUGAGAACCAAAGUGAAAAAUAUAAAAAAAAAUACAUUGCUCUAAUCCAAAUAUAAUCCACAGUGAAUUAGGAGAAAGUGCAGUGUUUUUUGCUACAGUAAAAUGCCGAUGCUUUUGUUGUAACGUCAUGCUGGAUUGCUGGUAGAGAUAUUGACAAAGAAAGAAAUUUAUUUGUGUAAACUGAUAUAUAUUCUAACCUCAAAGGGUUUUUUUUAACUCCACUUGACAGGCUGCAGGUAACGAUGCAUUGGGCCAUUUACGGUGUAGCUCAAAUUUAGAAGAGCUGCGUAUGGCAGAUAUUGUCAUUGAAGCUAUCGUGGAAUCCGAAGAUGCGAAGAAAACAUUAUUCCUUGAACUAGAUAGGAUAGCAAAAAGUUCUGCCAUUUUGGCAUCCAAUACAAGUUCCAUCUCCAUUACCCGCCUAGCAUCUGCGACUAGCAGGCCACGCCAGGUUAUACUCAGAAUAUGUUUCUUGUUUUUAGCCAAUGCUAAGGAUAUCUAUUAACAACACUUGCACGAAUCAAAAUGAAGUUCAACUUUAGAUCAUGUAUAUUGCGUUGGUUUUCACAGAACAGGAUUCUGACUGGAUAAAAAAGUAUCAUCUGCAGGUGAUUGGCAUGCAUUUCAUGAAUCCUCCUCCUAUAAUGAAACUGGUUGAGAUUGUACGCGGAGCAGACACAUCAGACAAUACAUUUUAUGCAACCAAGGCAUUGGCAGAGAGGUGACCGGAAUACCUCCUUCUAUGAAACAAUAGCACCUUUCAUUCAUGUUAUGUCCUCCCCUCAACAUUCUCCUGCCAAAUCCAUUUAAAUAAUUAUCUUCUUCAUUUUGAAUUUGCUUUGGAAGUAAAUGCAAACCAGGUCCCCUUUCGCCCUUCCCUCCACCCUGCACGUGCCUUUUUUGUAAUGUUGAGCAGUGAUCUAACAUUUAUUUUUGUCUCAAUCGCCAUUAACUCUGCUGCAGGUUUGGCAAGACAGUGAUAUGCUCUCAAGAUUUUUCAGGUUUCGUUGUAAACCGGAUCUUAAUGCCAAUGAUAAAUGAAGCAUUUUAUGCUCUCUAUACAGGAGUGGCAACAAAGGAGGAUAUUGAUACAGGAAUGAAGUUAGGAACGAACCACCCAAUGGGUCCUUUACAACUUGCAGAUUUCAUUGGACUGGAUGUAUGCCUGUCGAUAAUGAAAGUUCUUCAGACUGGCUUAGGGGACAAUAAAUAUGCUCCAUGUCCGCUUCUUGUGCAGUUUGUUGAUGCAGGUCGUCUUGGACGAAAACGUGGUAUUGGUGUCUAUGACUAUCGUGCAGCUGAGCAAGUAAAACGCUCUGCUCGACUUUGAACUCACUGAAAAUUGUGAAUUAUGAGGCUCGCACUGUAAUGCCUUUGUAAUUAAGUUUGGGUUUGGUACUGUGGUUUAUAAUGUUUUUUAAAUGUGAUUCUUUUUAUGCUUGAAAAUAUAUAUGAAAAUAUUGUUUUUAUAUUUUUUUUUGUUUUUAACAUCAAAAUAUAUAUGAAUUAUGUUUUUUCAAAAGAUAUAUUUGUGAUACGCAUCAAACAAACAGAAGGGACUGUACUCACUGUUUAACAAAUCAUUGUUUCUUUUGUAAAUAAAAAGUAGCUUUCACAAAAAGGGGGUGAGAUACCCCAAAAAGAGGAAUAUUGUGCUUAAAGUAAUAAAGCAGAGGAUAAAAGUGUGAGAUUAAUAAUGUUAUCCCAAAAUUCGAAUGAUUAGAAUGUGAUGUACCAUGUCUUGAUUAUUUUUACUUGCAAUUACCCUGCUUUGUAUACAGUUCCAUGUGAUGAAUUACUGAAGUAGCAUUACAGAGUUCUAAUAAUGAUGCCAGUAAAACCACUAAUGUUCAUCAAGUUGAUCCAUGGUUAUUGUUUAUCCUUACUAAAGUUUUUUGUAAAAUAGGUAACUCGAAUUCUCACGAAAAUUGCUUGCUUGCCAUCCGUGUCACUUCAAGCAAUUUAAUGAAGGUUUGUUCAGUGGUUAAUCUUGGAACUUUGAUGUUGUGCUUCAAUUUGUGAAUGAGCAAUGCGAUCUCAGCAUGCAUGGAGGUCUUUAGAUUUCAAGAAUUUUUGUGUUUGCAGUAGUAAUCUGAUCCGAGACAGCAACUUGCGAGGGUCUGAUCUUUGAAGCUGGUGGCACAUGCAGACAUGAAAAACGCAUAAUGGAUUGAAAGUCACAUGCCUUUUCCAACUUCUUUUCCUUUCAUUGGUAGAGCAUUUGCAUGUGGCUAAACCCAAAAACAGACAGAAGAAGAACUGCUUUCCAGUUCAUAAUAGCCAUUAUACUUCGGUUGAUUAAGUUUCUAAAUUGUCCAUCAAGCAAAAUCAAGUAAAAACACUGGGAACAUGGCCAAAAUCUUGGUGUAUUACAUUUAUGCUGCUCUAGAAAAAACAAGAAAAAAGAUUGAAACUUUAACCACAAAUGUAAAAUAUAUGUGGACAUAAUGGUUGCCAGCUUGGAGUUUUUAAUGAGAGACAACGAAAUCAGAAGGAUCCCCUGAAUUUCAAUAUCAGUGGGCUAGAGAUGACCCACAAAGAAGAGACUGUUACUGUAUAAGUUCAUCCUCGCUCAUGGGCAGCCCCCACCACUCAAGAGUCCAAGGCGCCAUUAUUUGUUACGUAACUUCUGUAUUGAAAGUGAUUGAUUUGGAAUCCCAUGGAAAAUAAAAAGAAAAAGAAAAGGAGUAAGAAUGAAUGACAUUAUUUAGAUAAGAAAGAAGAUAGAAAAUCACAGCAAAGGCUAAGACGUUUUUUACAGAGGUUUGGGAGAAGUUUGGAGAGAGGAGAAGGCAUAAGCUAGCAAUGAAGUUCUUGUUCCAGUGCCCUUGCUGCUCAUGUUUCUGCUUCAUGAAGCCUAAGCAGGGGAAACCGAAGGUGAAGGAAGUUGCCAAGGUAGCCAAGGUAGAGGAUGCCAAGGUAGCCAAGGUAGUGGAUGCCAAGAAGGUAGAGGAUGCCAAGGAAGAGAAGAAAGAGUAAUUUAUAAACUAAAUGCAACUACAAUGUUGAUGUAAAAUAUUUGAUCUCCUUUUUUAGUGUAUGCAGGGCUCUUCUUCCUGCUUGCUGGUUGUUCUCAAGUAAUUUUCAUGUAGCAUUUUCCCUCUAAUCCAUAUGAAAUGCUACCUUUAAUUUCCAUGCAUGGAAAUAAAUGUUACUGCUACAUUUUAUUUUGCCCAAGUUAAAAACAAUGUAUCAUUUUCUGCUUAUAUCUGCACAAUUGCUUGCAAAUCUCUUUGUUCCAUGAACAAUUCUGGGAUAUUUGGUGUAAUCGAGCACGCUCUAGAGUUCAUGCAUGCUAUGCUUGCAAGGAAAUGAAGAGAUACAAGUAGCGAGGUGCUUGUUCAAGCAGAAAAGAAAGCUUGACGAGAUGUUAGUUUUCAAGAAUCUUCCUCAAGAAAUGUCACUGGUCUCUUUCCAUGGAACGUCAACGCUCAACACCCACAUUUGAAUUUCCAUAAAUCUUAUUUUCUGGCACAAACGCUCCCUCGAGGACUCGGCUUAGUGAUCGUAUACCGGCCACCGGAGCUUCUUCAAUAAGUUUGAAUUUU